UUACCCAGUGGGGGUCCAGCUGGUAUUGUGUUACCAUGUGGGGGUCCAGCUGUGAUUGUGUUACACAAUCACAGCUGGACCCCCACUGGGUAACACAAUCACAGCUGGACCCCCCAGCUGGGAU